rnacentral:lncRNA from 1 species
GCCAAUGUAGUCCUAUAAGGCUUAGGAAGUCUUCACCUUACAAGUCGAUUUGAUGGGGUUGGGUUAGAUCCAAGACCCAAAUUCUAUAAUGAUAUUAAAGUAUAUCCUAGAUCUGUUAUUGAGUCAACUAUAUUUGUUUACGCUCUGAAUGUAAAUUCCUAGGUGUAAGAGGGUGUUGUUAUUGGGCUACCCGCAUUUGUCUAUGCUACAGAUGUGCAGUGCUAGACAGGUGUGUUAAGAUCUCACAUUGACUAGAGAUAUAGCCAAUGUGGUCCUUAUAAGGAUUGGGCAGUCCUCACCAUGCAAGCUGGUUUUGUGGGGUUGAGUUAGAACCUGAACAUAAACCCAAACUCUAUGAAUAAUAUACUAAUUUAAAAUAAUGACAUAAAAGUAAUAAUUAAGAGUUUAAAACAAAUAACAUGAACAGCCAAUAAUAAUCAGUGACACAAACAAAAGUAAACAGCCCAUGAAAAACCUAAACAGGGUAUAAGAAGUAAUCUAGAUAGAUAACAUUAGAAAAUAAUACGUGCAGUAAACCAUUUUAAAUGCAAUUUUGACAAAUUAUAGCAACUUUCAAGGUAGAAAGAUACACCAAACCCUUGGGGUGUUUAGAUGGAUCCCACUACCCAUAAACUUUUUAUUCUGCUCAGUCGAAUAGAUUGCAACAUAGAUGGAUAAAUGGAAAAAUACAGCAGUAAUCUUGGACAUUGAGCAAGACUAUAUGUCAUUAAAGGAGACAUUGACAAAAAAACAGUUGAAGGGUUAGGAUUUAAUGGGUCAGGAUAACAAUUUUUUUACAGUAAAGAACAGACAGAUAGGAGUAAGAAAUUUACAAGCAAUAUUAGGCGAUUGUGGGAUUGGUAUAGGGACUGUUUGGGUGCUGUCUCAGAUCUGUAUAAUGAUUUUGAACAACUCUAACUUUAUUCAAAGGCUUUCUAAUUUACAAGACAUGUUAAACUAGAAGAGUAUACACACAACUGUCUCAUUCACUUACCCUAAUUACCAUCUAUUAUCAUAUAUACUAGCAGCACUAUCAGUGGUCAGUAGUAAAGUCAAAGAAGCAAUAACUAAAAAUGGCAAUAGUUUGCUCGAAUUUCUAUUCUAUUGAAGCUAUAAAGUUUUACAAAACAUGUUGGCAAUCAAAUGAUAUUGAUGCAAAGUGAAAAAUAAUCAGAAAAACAAAAGAGGAGAAUAUAACCUCUGUAAACAAAAAAUAAAAACACACUCAAAGUUAGCACAAAAACACUCCCCAAUACCUUCAAAAUUCAAAUAUCUGUCCAAGUGAUGCCCUGGAAAAAGGCCAAAGGUGUAAAAUGAGAAUAAAGAAAAAGAAAAGAAAACGCCAAAUAGAAAAUGAUCCUAAUGUUCCUGGGAUUCCUUUUCCAAAGACAAUAGGUAACUUUAAUAAAGUUUUCAUGGUUUAUCUUGAUAAAUAAGAUUGGUUACUGACAACAUGAGAUAAUUUCUUAUUCCCUAUGCUUCCUCGAUACACUGUACUAUAUUUUCCCAACACACAGCAAGCAGAAGCAACACCAAAAACCUGAAUGAAAGAAAAAUGCCUAACGAGAUCUCAUACAGCUCAAACCAGUCCAGAACAGAGAACAAAAGCCAAGAGAAUCACACACAAUCCAGAAACAGGGAACGUUGUAAACCCCACCAGAAACAGCUCAGAUCAGUCACACAAGCACCAAGGUGGCACAAAUUAAGUCAUGUAGCCCAGCCAAAGCACAGAUGAGGUCACAAAACCCUACAUUAACACUAGGGUUUGAAUGGAGAAUGUUCAAAGCAGGUUCAGUUUUGGGUGGGUGAAUGAUAGACGUUGUCAUUUAACUGAGUGGUUGGGUAAAUUUUAGGCCAGAACAGGAUUAUUUUGCAUCUGCCCAGUCUCCAACAACCACAUUUCAGCAGAAGCUUGCAACAUUCUGGAAAUACACACAUGACAAUUAUUUGUAAGUUCACAAGUAAUCCCACCAAAAUGUGUUAAUGUGUAGGAAUAGGAUUGCAAAGGCUUGAGGAGUAGAUACAACCGUACAACUCUAUGGUCUGCAUUUAACAACCAUGCUCCACAAAGUUCAGCCUAAACUAAAUUAAAAAGGGUAAAGCUGUGUCCAAUGUGAAGGGUUUGUUUGGACAAGAGAGCUUAAGAGAAUUAACAAGAAUGAUUUGGUCCAAAAGGCAGACCUGAAAAGGCUAAUCCCCUGAAGUCUCAAGGAUCCUACCGUAACUAAUGGUGAGUCCCACUAUAAUAAAAUUUUCAGUGCAAGAAUAUUCACAAGAGACCAUCACGUAUAAAAUAAAAAGUAAAGCAUUAGCACUUAC